CGCGCAGGCGGCGUCGUAAGUCGGUCUUAAAAAGUGCGGGGCUUAAACCCCCGUGAGGGGACCGAAACUGCGAUGCUAGAGUAUCGGAGAGGAAAGCGGAAUUCCUAGUGUAGCGGUGAAAUGCGUAGAUAUUAGGAGGAGCACCAGUGGCGAAGGCGGCUUUCUGGACUGUAACUGACACUGAGGCUCGAAAGCCAGGGGAGCGAAG
rnacentral:rRNA from 1 species